AUUGCAUAACCAUUGUUUCUGAUGACUUUUGGUGGUCUAAUAAUUUUUUCCGCGACUGUAGAAAUGUAGCGCAAAAAUAUAAUGGAAACACAUUCUGCACAUUUUCACCCACCUGGUUCCGGUGGUUUUGCUCAAGCCAAACAUCUCACCUAUGACCCUGUACUUAGAACAGGUGGUUCUAGUUUAUACAGGGCAGUGUUUCUCAA